AUUGAACGCUGGCGGCAGGCUUAACACAUGCAAGUCGAGCGAGCGGCGGACGGGUGAGUAAUGUCUGGGAAACUGCCUAAUGGAGGGGGAUAACUACUGGAAAAGGUAGCUUAUAACGCAUACUCUCAGAUGAGCCCAGAUGGGAUUAGCUAGUAGGUGGGGUAAUGGCUCACCAAGGCAACGAUCCCUAGCUGGUCUGAGAGGAUGACCAGCCACACUGGAACUGAGACACGGCCCAGACGCCUACGGGAGGCAGCAGUGGGGAAUAUUGCACAAUGGGCGAAAGCCUGAUGCAGCCAUUCCGCGUGUGUGAGGAAGGCCUUCGGGUUGUAAAGCACUUUCAGCGAGGAGGCGUUACUCGCAGAAGAAGCACCGGCUAACUACGUGCCAGCAGCCGCGGUAAUAC
rnacentral:rRNA from 1 species